rnacentral:snoRNA from 1 species
UUUGAAAUGAGGAAACAUUCGUCCGUUUUUUUCUUAGAAGAAAACCAUGCUGCUUUAUCGAAUUCCCCAACUGAUAAA